rnacentral:rRNA from 1 species
UACGUAGGGACCAAGCGUUGUUCGGAUUUACUGGGCGUAAAGGGCGCGUAGGCGGCGUGGUAAGUCACUUGUGAAAUCUCUGAGCUUAACUCAGAACGGUCAAGUGAUACUGCUGUGCUAGAGUGCGGAAGGGCAAUCGGAAUUCUUGGUGUAGCGGUGAAAUGCGUAGAUAUCAGGAGGAACACCGGCGGCGAAGGCGGCCCUCUGGACCGUUGCUGACGCUGAGACGCGAAAGCGUGGGGAGCAAACAGG